AAAAAAAAUGAGUAAAAAGCUCGUAGUUGGAUUUCUAGAUAAGUGGGUACUUGUACUUUGCUUGUCUACCAGUCUUAGACUGUUACUGUGAGAAAAUUAGAGUGUUUCAAGCAGGCUGUUGCAGGAAUACAUUAGCAUGGAAUAACGAAUGUGUCUGGAAUAUUGGUUAAUUCUAGAUUACGAUUAAUAGGGACAGUUGGGGGCAUUAGUAUUUAAUUGUCAGAGGUGAAAUUCUUGGAUUUAUUAAAGACUAACGUAUGCGAAAGCAUUUAC
rnacentral:rRNA from 1 species